rnacentral:tRNA from 1 species
AAGGCGGUAAAGUUUUCGCUUACAACGAAAAACACCUUUUGGGCGCUUUUAUAGAUUAUUGCGGGUUAA